rnacentral:rRNA from 1 species
AUGAGUGGGCCGGCCAAAGAAGACCACUAUGGAAGUGAAAGGGGAGGGCAAGAGCGGUUCGAAGACCAUAGCCCGAUGUGGGUACAUUGGCGUCAUCGUCGUAUGAAAUUCACGCACAAAGGGCGCCGCAUCACUCUCAAUGGCAUUCAAGAUAAUCCUUCCUGCCGUCCAAUCUCUGUCCGUAAGCUGCAAGGAUUGCUGAAACGUGGUGUUGUUAGCCAGUGUGUGCAAGUGCGUCAGAUUCACCAGGAGCAUGAUCUGCAAGCAAUUACUCUGGAUGUUGAUCCUGCAGAGCAGACACCUCCAGCUAUUCAAGAACUGCUACAGGAGUUUGAUGCUUUGUUCCGGGAGCCAAAGGAAUUACCCCCUCGUCGUGCCUAUGACCACCAAAUUCCGUUGGUGCCAGGUGCAAUGCCAGUCAAUGUCCGGCCAUAUAGAUAUGCACCCCACCAGAAAACAGAGAUUGAGAAGCAAAUCUGUGAGAUGAUGAACAAUGGCAUUAUUCGUCGCAGCACGAGCCCCUUCGCUUCUCCAGUGCUCUUGGUUCGUAAGAAGGAUGGAUCCUGGCGCUUUUGA